rnacentral:rRNA from 1 species
GAUCAUGGCUCAGGAUGAACGCUGGCGGCGUGCUUAACACAUGCAAGUCGAACGGGAAACCUUUUAUUGAAGCUUCGGCAGAUUUAGCUGGUUUCUAGUGGCGGACGGGUGAGUAACGCGUGGGUAACCUGCCCUAUACAGGGGGAUAACAACCAGAAAUGGUUGCUAAUGCCGCAUAAGCGCACAGGACCGCAUGGUCCGGUGUGAAAAACUCCGGUGGUAUAGGAUGGACCCGCGUUGGAUUAGCCAGUUGG